GCUAAACGCGAAGAACCUUACCCAGGCUUGACAUCCUACUAAUCACUUCGAAAGAAGAGAGUGUCUUCGGACCGUAGUGACAGGUGAUGCAUGGCCGUCGUCAGCUCGUGUCGUGAGAUGUUUGGUUAAGUCCAUCAACGAGCGCAACCCCUGUAGUUAGUUGAAUUUUUCUAGCUAGACUGCCUCGGUAACGGGGAGGAAGGAGGGGAUGAUGUCAGGUCAGUAUCUCCCUUACGUCUGGGGCUACAAACACGCUACAACGGCCGGUACAAAGGGCUGCAAGCCCGCGAGGGUGAGCCAAUCGCAUAAAGUCCGUCUCAGUUCGGAUUGCAGGCUGCAACUCGCCUGCAUGAAGUUGGAAUCGCUAGUAAUCGCGGAUCAGCAUGCCGCGGUGAAUACGUUCUCGGGUCUUGUACACACCG
rnacentral:rRNA from 1 species